rnacentral:rRNA from 1 species
GAUGAACGCUAGCUACAGGCUUAACACAUGCAAGUCGAGGGGUAACGAGAGGAAAGCUUGCUUUCCUUGUCGACGACCGGCGCACGGGUGAGUAACGCGUAUCCAACCUGCCCCCAACUAGGGAAUAACCUUGCGAAAGUAAGACUAAUACCCUAUAAUUUCCUCAGAUGUCAUCUGACGAGGAAUAAAGAUUUAUCGGUUGUGGAUGGGGAUGCGUCUGAUUAGCUUGUUGGCGGGGCAACGGCCCACCAAGGCAACGAUCAGUAGGGGUUCUGAGAGGAAGGUCCCCCACAUUGGAACUGAGACACGGUCCAAACUCCUACGGGAGGCAGCAGUGAGGAAUAUUGGUCAAUGGGCGGAAGCCUGAACCAGCCAAGUAGCGUGCAGGAUGACGGCCCUAUGGGUUGUAAACUGCUUUUAUACAGGAAUAAAGUUAGCCACGUGUGGUUAUUUGUAGGUACUGUAUGAAUAAGGACCGGCUAAUUCCGUGCCAGCAGCCGCUGUAA